ACGCUCGACACCUACUGGAGGCAGCAGUGGGGAAUAUUGGGCAAUGGGCGAAAGCCUGACCCAGCAACGCCGCGUGAGGGAAGAAGGUUUUCGGAUUGUAAACCUCUGUCCUCAGGGACGAAGGACGUGACGGUACCUGAGGAGGAAGCCCCGGCUAACUACGUGCCAGCACGCCGGACGGUAAUCUGAGGCGGGCGUGGACGAAGGC
rnacentral:rRNA from 1 species